AGCGGCGGACGGGUGAGUAACACGUGGGUAACCUGCCCAAGAGACCGGGAUAACACCUGGAAACGGAUGCUAAUACCGGAUAACAACACUAGACGCAUGUCUAGAGUUUGAAAGAUGGUUCUGCUAUCACUCUUGGAUGGACCUGCGGUGCAUUAGCUAGUUGGUAAGGUAACGGCUUACCAAGGCAAUGAUGCAUAGCCGAGUUGAGAGACUGAUCGGCCACAUUGGGACUGAGACACGGCCCAAACUCCUACGGGAGGCAGCAGUAGGGAAUCUUCCACAAUGGACGAAAGUCUGAUGGAGCAACGCCGCGUGAGUGAAGAAGGGUUUCGGCUCGUAAAGCUCUGUUGGUAGUGAAGAAAGAUAGAGGUAGUAACUGGCCUUUAUUUGACGGUAAUUACUUAGAAAGUCACGGCUAACUACGUGCCAGCAGCCGCGGUAAUACGUAGGUGGCAAGCGUUGUCCGGAUUUAUUGGGCGUAAAGCGAGUGCAGGCGGUUCAAUAAGUCUGAUGUGAAAGCCUUCGGCUCAACCGGAGAAUUGCAUCAGAAACUGUUGAACUUGAGUGCAGAAGAGGAGAGUGGAACUCCAUGUGUAGCGGUGGAAUGCGUAGAUAUAUGGAAGAACACCAGUGGCGACGCGGCUCUCUGGUCUGCAACUGACGCUGAGGCUCGAAAGCAUGGGUAGCGAACAGGAUUAGAUACCCUGGUAGUCCAUGCCGUAAACGAUGAG
rnacentral:rRNA from 1 species